rnacentral:rRNA from 1 species
GCUCAGGAUGAACGCUGGCGGCGUGCCUAACACAUGCAAGUCGAACGGAGAAUUUUAUUUCGGUAGAAUUCUUAGUGGCGAACGGGUGAGUAACGCGUAGGCAACCUACCCUUUAGACGGGGACAACAUUCCGAAAGGAGUGCUAAUACCGGAUGUGAUCAUCGUGCCGCAUGGCAGGAUGAAGAAAGAUGGCCUCUACAAGUAAGCUAUCGCUAAAGGAUGGGCCUGCGUCUGAUUAGCUAGUUGGUAGUGUAACGGACUACCAAGGCGAUGAUCAGUAGCCGGUCUGAGAGGAUGAACGGCCACAUUGGGACUGAGACACGGCCCAAACUCCUA